UCCCUCCUAAAGUUCACACUCAGUUGAAGAGGAUGACCACCCCUGAUAGAGGAGGACCAGUCUUCAGCCAAGGGUAUAUGAGUAGCUGAGCUUCCCUGCUGGAACCUCCAAACAAGCUGUCAAUAGAGCAAAGUGUCACUGCAGAGC
rnacentral:sRNA from 1 species